GUGCUUGAUUCAGUAGCACAUAUACUAAAAUUGGAACCAUGCAGAGAAGGUUAGUAUGGCUUCUGUGCAGGGUUGAUGUGCAAAUCUGUGAAAUGUUCCAUAUUUUU